CCUACGGGUGGCUGCAGUGGGGAAUAUUGGGCAAUGGGCGCAAGCCUGACCCAGCAACGCCGCGUGAAGGAAGAAGGCUUUCGGGUUGUAAACUUCUUUGAAGAGGGAAGAGCAGAAGACGGGACCUCUGGAAUAAGCCACGGCUAACUACGUGCCAGCAGCCGCGGUAAUACGUAGGUGGCAAGCGUUGUCCGGAUUUACGGGGUGUAAAGGGCAUGCAGCCGGGAAGACAAGUCAGAGGUGAAAUCCCGCGGCGCAACCGCGGAACGGCAUUUGAAACUGUUUUUCUUGAGUACCGGAGAGGUCAUCGGAAUUCCUUGUGUAGCGGUGAAAUGCGUAGAUAUCAGG
rnacentral:rRNA from 1 species